CCUAAUGUGAAGACACGGGCGCAAUCGAAUGAGUCAUUGUCGAGAACGGAACGAGAAUAGCUAACCAAGCGAUGGCCUUCUUCCCGCCCAUCCCCUUCCGUACAUACAUACACCUUUGCCGUUCGCGCUGCACUGAUUGUUGCAUGCCCAGGUAGGCAAGCGGUAGGGGGCAAACCAGAGACCACGCACCUCAGCAACCUGGUGCAACCUGCAUUAGCGCCGCCUCCUUGUUCGCCUUCAUGUCGCUUUGUAAUAUUUGCAAGGACCUGGUCCACUGCCCCUUUUACCUCGGGGUUCAAUCUUUG
rnacentral:lncRNA from 1 species